rnacentral:sRNA from 1 species
AGCAGCCGCGGUAAUUCCAGCUCCAAUAGCGUAUAUUAAAGUUGUUGCAGUUAAAAAGCUCGUAGUUGAAUUUCGGGAUUAAUUUACUGGUCGUGCUAUUGUACGUACUGGUUUUAUUGAUUCCUCCCUUCUGACGAACUAUGAUGUCAUUAAUUUGGUGUCAUAGGGAAUCAGGACUGUUACUUUGAAAAAAUUAGAGUGUUUAAAGCAGGCUCACGCUUGAAUACAUUAGCAUGGAAUAACGGAAUAGGACGUUUGAUUCUAUUUUGUUGGUUUCUAGGAUCGACGUAAUGAUUAAUAGGGAUAGUUGGGGGCAUUAGUAUUCAAUUGUCAGAGGUGAAAUUCUUGGAUUUAUUGAAGACUAACUACUGCGAAAGCAUUUGCCAAGGAUGUUUUCAUUAAUCAAGAACGAAA